rnacentral:rRNA from 1 species
AUGUGUUGUGAUAUUACUCAAAUGCGUGUCCAAUCUCUUACCACCAUUGGUAACAAAGAAGUGAUCCAAGUCAAAGAUCACUUGACAUACUCGAGUAUGUCGGGUCCAUGUAAGCCCCAUCCUGUCUCUUCUCUUCCUCUAGGUUUCGUGUGUUGUGUUGCUCUGCCUGCUGGGGCGGUGGACAUGGUGAAUAUCUCGAAUUUAGCUAGUGUGUCCCUCCUUGGUGGUUGCAGUUUGUUUGCAAGUUUUUGGAUUUCUACAGCCAGGACAUGUAAUCUGGUUGACCAAAUAUUUCUGUUUCCGUUGGGAUUUGGUUGCCUGAAUUGUCAUAUAUCCCUGGUAGUUCUGUUUUGA